UGGCUCAGUAGUUAAGAGCAUUUGUUUUUGCAGAGGAUCUGGGUUCGAUUCCCAG
rnacentral:tRNA from 1 species